CCACCGUGCAGCCUCAAAAGGAGAUUUUUUUAUCUCAAUAGGACAUCCCUAGUUAAAUAAAGGCCCCGCCCACCUCGCUCUCAGCACUCUGCACCCUGGCGGCAGUCAGCGCCACCACAUCCUCCAGCUCAGAGAGUUCUGAGUCUGUGGUGCCUCCAAAUCUAUUUUUGGCGCUCUUCUCCAGCCUCCGCAGCUUGGUCUCCAGAUCAUAGGACUGACCAGCUGUGAUGUACACCUGCACAGGUGGGGCCUGGCCCAAGUUCUCCUGAGAGGUGGUUCUGCUGUUCCUGCGACGGUGGGGGGGCUGCUGGUACAUCGGUGGGCAUCGUUGGUACUCUUCCUCAUCCGAGGUGUCCACAUACUGCUGACGGGCCACGGAUGAGCUGAUUUUAGACAGAGAGCGCGUUCGGACCAUCCGGUUCUCUGCAUGAUCCUCUGCAGACACAGACAGACCUGAGAACGAUCAGACUGGCUUCUAAAACAAAACACUGACUGUACUUUAAGGGGUCACUGAGGUCAAUACUGACCUGCUCUCAUGGCAUACCGAUCCAGACUCCUCCUGCGGUUGGCACGGUGGUUGUAAUUGUCGUAGUCCACAUCAUUCCUGUAAUAUCGAUCCUCCUGCAUCUGCUGCAUUGACAAAUCAAAUACAUGUGAGGUCAUAAGCACACCAGAGGAGUGGUUAGUUUCCAACUAGCAACCAUUGUAAUGAAUUUAAAACACCUCUUUUUAUUGAUAAAGUAUGUCUAUAAUCAGUGGUCCCCAACCACCAGGCUGAGGAAGAACUAAUAAAUUAUUCAUAUUUUUUUCCU